rnacentral:tRNA from 2 species
CGCCGCCCUGGCCGGAGCGGGGGCGCAGGUCGCCGCAGCCGACCUGGACGCCGUGCCGGCGGAGUCCGCAGGCGUUCCGGACGCCGCCGCGGCGG